rnacentral:rRNA from 1 species
GAUGAACGCUGGCGGCGUGCCUAACACAUGCAAGUCGAGCGAUUCACUUCGGUGAAGAGCGGCGGACGGGUGAGUAACGCGUGGGUAACCUGCCUCAUACACAUGGAUAACAUACCGAAAGGUAUGCUAAUACAGGAUAACAUAAGAGAUUCACAUGUAUCUUUUAUCAAAGCUCCGGCGGUAUGAGAUGGACCCGCGUCUGAUUAGCUAGUUGGCGGGGUAACGGCCCACCAAGGCGACGAUCAGUAGCCGGACUGAGAGGUUGAACGGCCACAUUGGGACUGAGACACGGCCCAG